GUUUUUUCUUCAAACAAAAACAAUCUACAAAAAUGGAAGCUGCAACUGUUUGCAGUUAAUUACUAUUGUGAAAAAAAUACUACUUUAUAGUGAAGUUUUACCUAUUUAAAGCCAUUAGAAAACUAAAAGUGAAUCUCUAAACCCGCAUCGCAAGCCAUAUCCCUUUUACCAAUAACAGUAUGACUCUAAUUUUAUGGCCCCGGAACCGCUCAGUCCCGGAAGGGAACUGGCAUAGACCCCUAGCUACUGCUGUAGACAUGGCAGCCGUCUAGGGUGGGCGCAGAUUGCAGAAGGCCUCUUUUUGCUCAGGGUUUUUGGUGCGGGAAGGCUAUCGGAAGCGUGAAUAUAGGUGCUUGGUCGAUAAGAUGGUCGGUUAGUCGUUGGACGAUAAUGCGACGGUCGGGUGCCUUGAUGCAACCCACGAGCAUUCGGUCGUCAAAGUCACCCGCGGGAGGCCAAACGGGAACGCAGCCGUCUCGUGGCCGAAGGGUGGUGAGACCCUAAAUUGAUAAGGCAGCUGGAAUGUCGUACAAACAACAGCUUCCGACAAGUGGCCGAGCGAUGUUGCGGUCAAACGAUAACGUAGCCGGCUCCCAACGAAUUGAGCCGAACUAGAAUCCAGGGUACGAAUGGGCGAUCGAGCAGGAUG